rnacentral:misc_RNA from 1 species
GGAUAAGAGAAAGGUGAGUCAUCGAAUCUUUGAACGCACAUUGCGCCCUAUAGUAUUCUGUAGGGCAUGCAUGUUCGAGCGUCAUUUGUACCUUCAAGCUUUGCUUGGUGUUGGGUGUUUGUCCUCUCCCUGGUGUUUGGACUCGCCUUAAAAUAAUUGGCAGCCAGUGUUUUGGUAUUGAAGCGCAGCACAAUUUGCGAUUCUGACCUUAAAAUACUAGCAUCCAUAAGUAUUUUCUCACUUUUGACCUCGGAUCAUGUAGGGAUACCCGCUGAACUUAAGCAUAUCAAUAAGCGGAGG